rnacentral:rRNA from 1 species
GAUGAACGCUGGCGGCGUGCCUAAUACAUGCAAGUCGAGCGAACAGAUGAGGAGCUGCUCCUCUGACGUUAGCGGCGGACGGGUGAGUAACACGUGGAUAACCUACCUAUAAGACUGGGAUAACUUCGGGAAACCGGAGCUAAUACCGGAUAAUAUAUUGAACCGCAUGGUUCAAUAGUGAAAGACGGUUUUGCUGUCACUUAUAGAUGGAUCCGCGCCGCAUUAGCUAGUUGGUAAGGUAACGGCUUACCAAGGCAACGAUGCGUAGCCGACCUGAGAGGGUGAUCGGCCACACUGGAACUGAGACACGGUCCAGACUCCUACGGGAGGCAGCAGUAGGGAAUCUUCCGCAAUGGGCGAAAGCCUGACGGAGCAACGCCGCGUGAGUGAUGAAGGUCUUCGGAUCGUAAAACUCUGUUAUUAAGGAAGAACAAAUGUGUAAGUAACUAUGCACGUCUUGACGGUACCUAAUCAGAAAGCCACGGCUAACUACGUG